rnacentral:lncRNA from 1 species
GCCUCUGGCCUCAUUGAUGUCUCGGGUUCAAGAUUUUCGGGUUGCAUGUUCAAUUUUUCUUUUUGUGGUAUUUCCUCUGCUGUUAGGAAGGUGUGUUUUUCUUGUUUUCACUUGUAACAGGGUUUUUGGCUUGUUUUCAUGGAAAUGGGGCCUUGACUCUUAUUCCAUCAUGCGAGAUUUAAUGUUAUCAAAUUCGUCUUUCAUCUCUUUGAAUUCAUUAGUCUACUUCUUUUCCGUGGCUCCAGAAGUGAUUUUCAGAGCAAUAUAUUGAGGUGCUGCUUCAUCCCAAAUAAUGUUCGGCUGGAUGAUGUGCGCUUACCUUAUCUUUCCUCCUUGGUGGUUUCUUCUUUCUUGGGUGUCAUGUUAGUUUGAUCGAUAACUCUUUGUUUUUACUUUAGUCCUCGUUUUAUGUAUACUUCUAUAUCUCCUGAAAAAUUUGUUAAUUCUGUCGGCUAAAGUUUUCCGGAAGAACGUCUGUUUUCUGCUGACGUUAAGGAGUUCUUAUAAUUCUAGUUUUGUAUCCCUCCAAGUAUAUCACUCUGGGUUGAAACAUUGAAUAUUUUAGUGAAAAAGUUUUAGAUAAGUGAAAG